UACGUAGGGGGGCAAGCGUUGUCCGGAAUCAUUGGGCGUAAAGAGCGUGUAGGCGGCCCGAUAAGUCCGCCGUGAAAGUCCAGGGCUCAACCCUGGAAUGCCGGUGGAAACUGUCGGGCUGGAGUCCGGAAGAGGCGAGUGGAAUUCCUGGUGUAGCGGUGAAAUGCGCAGAUAUCAGGAGGAACACCAAUGGCGAAGGCAGCUCGCUGGGACGGUACUGACGCUGAGACGCGAAAGCGUGGGGAGCAAACAGG
rnacentral:rRNA from 1 species